GAUCAGAUAGUGGACGGGGCCCCCUGCCCCCGGCGUGACUGUCGACCGGGACGGACUGUUCUCAGUGCGCCCCAACCGCGUCGCGUCGUUCAGGGCGGGGACCGGCUCACGUACACUUGGCGAAGGGGUCAGCGGCGACGUCGGCUA
rnacentral:rRNA from 1 species